UCUCCUCAUUAAAAGCCAGCCUCGGUUCCUUCGCUUCUCCAGGGCCUCUCUCCGUAGAGCUGCGGCAGCAAGAUGAGAGUUAACAGCUUGGAAGGAGCCAGGCACGACGCGAAGUCAAAACAGCACCAUAUGUUAGUGCUGCCGCACAUGCGAUGUAGACAAAUUUCAUAUUGUUAUCACUGCGACAGAUCUCGGCUGGGAGUGAAAAAAAAACAUUAACUUUGGAAGUUUUGGGGAGGACCUCAGGUAGGGUAAUGAUGUUCUAGGCCAGGGAACAUUAAUGAGAGAGAGGUUGGUGGUUGUUGUUGUUUUUUCCUACGUGCCUUUGGCUCAUAACCUUCCAGAACCAUAUUUCUGGAUAAUUCCUGUUGUUACUGUUAUGAUGCCAUGACAAGGUUUACUGAAAUUCUUAACGGGAUAAACAUAAUGUCAACAGCAAAGGGUGAUGAACUGUAUUGGCAUUGAUGGAACCCUCUUGAAAAUGAUUGAGUUAAAAGCCUUAGAAAUUGUGACAGUAGAAAAUUUAUCAGCAGUACAUGCUUAGAAUCUAUUUUAGGUUGAUUUAUUCAAAGAAGAUAUCAUAAUAUGCAGCCAAACUUCAGGAGAUUGGAAAGAAUGGAAAAGACCACGUUCUUCACGGUGGAGUACACACAAUAAUAAUCUACUUGCUUGGAGAUGAUUAGAUGCUACUUUAAAGGUUUGUAUAUUGCUUAUGUCUCCAAUUCAAAACCAGUAUUUCUGUUCUGUAAAAGGAUAAGCUGCAGCACAAGUUAAAGUAACUCGUCUUUUCUGUUUUUAUUUCCAUUGCUAUAUGAAAGUUCCACACAAUUUUUUCUUGCAUUCUGCUUCUGUCCUCCUAGACAGGCCUGAGUACAUGUUUAAAUUAGUAGCCUUCAUUUAAAAAGUGGUGUGAUAGUUAGCAUUAAUAAGAAAGAAUGCAUAAUCUGAAAGCAAAGUAAAAAUAUUUUUGUUAAGGUACAUUAUUCUAAGAAUUAAUUAAAUCAAAGUGUACUAAAAAGUAUUUAUGUCUUAGUGUUUACUGAAACAGACUGAGAUCCUUUGGUAAGACUGGUAUGUCUGCAAUUCUUAGCCUACUGAAUGAAAGGCAAAAAUUAAUUUUUUGCUAGUUAUUUUUUGCUAAAAACAAGUCUUGAGAUUCCAACUGGGACCAUUUUUUUUCAAGCUCUAUCUGAUAUGAUAAUAUCAUGGAAUACAACAUGACUUACAAAGGACUAUAAGGAGAGGACUGUAAUUUCAGAUACAGGGGAAGUUAAAGAAGGCUAUUUUUGUGUACAAGUACACUCAAGUAAAAGAUCUGAAGCGUCAAGACUAAAAAGUCAUUGCUGCAAAACAGUAUAGCUUAAGACUGGUAUGUACAUACUCAAGGUAAGUAUGGAGUUAAUCAAAAACUGGAAAUGCUUCUAGUGCAGAGGGGGAAAAAAAGUAUUCUUCCAUGUAUUUUUGGUCCUAUAUCAGAUGUCUUUUCACAUUCUAUUCCAUUCUAUUAAUCCCCUCUCCCCUCUUAAUAAUGUUCUGGUUGUAUUCACAGUUUAGUUGUUGCAAUUUUGCUUGUUUAUAAAGCAUUCCAUAUGAAAUACCUCACAACAGUUCUACUUAAUACCUAAAGAAUUCCCCCUUAAUUGCAGUAAUUCUUAAUAUUAUCAAAAGUAUGCUAAACACAGCAGGUUAAAACAAGAAAUAAAGGACUACAACUGAUACUGCA
rnacentral:lncRNA from 1 species